rnacentral:tRNA from 1 species
GGAGCGGUAGUUCAGUUGGUUAGAAUACCUGCCUGUCACGCAGGGGGUCGCGGGUUCGGGUCCCGUCCGUUCCGCCA